GCUUGAGCAGAAAGUGAGAGAGAGUUGCUGGCAAAGAGCCAGGAGAGGCCAGCAGGACCUUGAUAUUCAGGGACCUUAGUUCAGAACUGAAACCUCGAAAAAUCAAAAUGGAUUCAAGGAUUCAUGUUACCCUCCCUAGACGGUGAAGAAUAAUGGUGACCACAAAUUACCUUACGGACCCCUUUAUAACACCAGGACCGGAGAAAUUAACAAAAACUCUGGAUACCGAGGAUGAAGAUGGUUGAGGAGAGGUCAUCAAGAUACAUCAUCUUUAAUUAAGGGAAACAAAAAUUGCCGCUCAGUGAAAGGAUUGGCAAUUUAUUACCUUCCCAGAAGGAUGUGCUUUCAAGAUAGGAUCAAAGUGUCUCCUUAUGUGUCUGGAGGAAGCAGCCAACUAAACUAUAGUCACUUUAGUAAGAUUUUUGAAGUUCUGAUGAAAUAAACAAUCAUGAUGUAAUGCC